rnacentral:rRNA from 1 species
GCACAACGCGAAGAACCUUACCAGGCCUUGACAUGCAGAGAACUUUCCAGAGAUGGAUUGGUGCCUUCGGGAACUCUGACACAGGUGCUGCAUGGCUGUCGUCAGCUCGUGUCGUGAGAUGUUGGGUUAAGUCCCGUAACGAGCGCAACCCUUGUCCUUAGUUACCAGCACGUUAUGGUGGGCACUCUAAGGAGACUGCCGGUGACAAACCGGAGGAAGGUGGGGAUGACGUCAAGUCAUCAAGGCCCUUACGGCCUGGGCUACACACGUGCUACAAUGGUCGGUACAGAGGGUUGCCAAGCCGCGAGGUGGAGCUAAUCUCACAAAACCGAUCGUAGUCCGGAUCGCAGUCUGCAACUCGACUGCGUGAAGUCGGAAUCGCUAGUAAUCGCGAAUCAGAAUGUCGCGGUGAAUACGUUCCCGGGUCUUGUACACACCG